UACGUAGGGUGCAAGCGUUGUCCGGAAUUAUUGGGCGUAAAGAGCUCGUAGGCGGUCUGUUGCGUCCGCUGUGAAAACUCGGGGCUUAACCCCGAGCCUGCAGUGGAUACGGGCAGACUAGAGGUAGGUAGGGGAGAAUGGAAUUCCCGGUGUAGCGGUGAAAUGCGCAGAUAUCAGGAAGAACACCCGUGGCGAAGGCGGCUCUCUGGGACGGUACUGACGCUGAGACGCGAAAGCGUGGGGGAGCGAACAGG
rnacentral:rRNA from 1 species